rnacentral:rRNA from 1 species
AUCAGCGCCAGGGAACUACAAGCAAUGCUUAAAACCCAAAGGACUUGACGGUGUCCCACCCACCUAGAGGAGCCUGUUCUAUAAUUGAUAAUCCCCGCUUUACCUAACCAUCCCUUGCUUUUCAGUCUGUAUACCUCCGUCGAAAGCUUACCAUGUGAACGCCCUCAGUAAGCUUAAUGACCCCAUCAAUACGUCAGGUCAAGGUGCAGCUCACGGAAUGGGAAGAAAUGGGCUACAAUUUCUAACCUAGAACAAACGAAAGGCUACGUGAAACCCUAGCUCCGAAGGCGGAUUUAGUAGUAAAAAGAAAAUAGAGAGUUCUUUUUAACCCGGCUCUGGGACGCGUACACACCGCCCGUCACCCUCUUCAAUAGUACUCCUCCUGUUCAUAACCUACUACUUACACCAUAGAAGAGGCAAGUCGUAACAUGGUAAGUGUACUGGAAAGUGCACUUGGUCUACAACAAAAUGUAGCUUAACACAAAGCCCCCCGCUUACACCGAGGAAAUAUCUGUUUAACCCAGAUCAUUUUGAGCCCAACAUCUAGCCCUCACUACUCGCAUGACCCCAUCAACCUCUCACCUCUUAACAAAACAUUUCCCCACUUUAGUACAGGCGAUCGAAAAAUUUAUAGGCGCUUCAGAUAAAGUACCGCAAGGGAACGAUGAAAUAAAAAUGAAAUAACCCACAAGCCCCAAAUAGCAGAGAUACCCCCUCG